rnacentral:rRNA from 1 species
UACGUAGGGUGCAAGCGUUGUCCGGAAUUAUUGGGCGUAAAGAGCUCGUAGGCGGUUUGUUGCGUCGGCUGUGAAAUCCCGGAGGCUCAACCUCGGGUCUGCAGUCGAUACGAGCAAACUAGAGUGUUGCAGGGGAGACUGGAAUUCCUGGUGUAGCGGUGAAAUGCGCAGAUAUCAGGAGGAACACCGAUGGCGAAGGCAGAUCUCUGGGCCGUAACUGACGCUGGAGGAGCGAAAGCAUGGGGAGC